ACUACCAUAAAUAACUAUCAUAAGGGAGACACAUUCCAAUACACAAAUCAUCUAUGGAUAGCCCUGCCAAGCCCCACCCAACCCCGGGUGAGGAGUAUGAAAAACUCUAGGAGCCCCUAUCCUACAACCCUGAUAUUAGACCUCCAGAAUUUCCUAUCAAGGGUCAUUGUCCUCGGAAACCCGCAUUCUAGCCAUGUCAUGCCUAAUCACCUCUCCCCAAUACUUCUUAGGUCUCCCUCUGCCUCGCCGAACGCCGACAA
rnacentral:lncRNA from 1 species